UAGGGGAUCUGAGAGGAUGACCCCCCACACUGGUACUGAGACACGGACCAGACUCCUACGGGAGGCAGCAGUAGGGAAUAUUGGGCAAUGGAGGAGACUCUGACCCAGCCAUGCCGCGUGCAGGAAGAAGGCCUUCUGGGUUGUAAACUGCUUUUGAUCGGGAACAAAAAGUCCAUGCGUGGAAAAUUGAGUGUACCGAUAGAAUAAGCACCGGCUAACUCCGUGCCAGCAGCCGCGGUAAUAC
rnacentral:rRNA from 1 species